GACGAACGCUGGCGGCGUGCUUAACACAUGCAAGUCGAACGGAAAGGCCCUGCUUUUGUGGGGUGCUCGAGUGGCGAACGGGUAAGUAACACGUGAGUAACCUGCCCUUGACUUUGGGAUAACUUCAGGAAACUGGGGCUAAUACCGGAUAGGAGCUCCUGCUGCAUGGUGGGGGUUGGAAAGUUUCGGCGGUUGGGGAUGGACUCGCGGCUUAUCAGCUUGUUGGUGGGGUAGUGGCUUACCAAGGCUUUGACGGGUAGCCGGCCUGAGAGGGUGACCGGCCACAUUGGGACUGAGAGACGGCCCAGACACCUACGGGAGGCAGCAGUGGGGAAGAUUGCACAAUGGGCGGAGGCCGAGUGCAGCAACGCCGCGUGCGGGAUAACGGCCUUCGGGUUGUAAACCACUUUCGCCUGUGACGAAGCGUGAGUGACGGUAAUGGGUAAAGAAGCACCGGCUAACUACGUG
rnacentral:rRNA from 1 species